GUUUAUUACAGAGUAUGAAAAUCAGGAAGCUUUUUGUUCACUUCAUACAUCUCUUCCUACAAAGCCAGACAUCAGACCCGAGCUCAGAUUCCGGAGUGAUUAUUGUUACACAUGAUCUAUGGAGCAGAUAAAUUGCAGCUUGAUUUUUAUAAGAAAUCUGUGAAGCAGUGUAAAAAAAAAUCUGAAACUGGAUUCUCCCACUUUGUUGGGGAGCCGGUUUCUCUUUUCCCCACUUUGCCUCCAUUCCCGGAGGGCGUAGCUACGAAAACCGGAGAGGCGAGAGCGGAGCGGCAGAGUCACGAGUGCAGAUCCAUGCAGGGGGGAGACCAUUUCAGCCUCCUGCUUUGCCUAGCUUUGGCAGUGACCUAAAGGAGGCAGAACGGAAAGCAAGGUAGAAGGCUUUUUGCGCAAAAUGGAACAGCAAUAAUUAAUAAUUAAUGAUGUUGCACCUUCUUUGUCAUUUUAGCUCAUCGUUCCUAGUAGUUAUUGCCUUCCAGUCCAAAUGUGUGUCUGUAGACUGACGAAUUAAUACAUGCAUGUUUUGGAGAUCGUAACGCAGCAGCCGAAAGGGUCAAGAAUUACAGUGCACGCUAGAAAUGCAAACUCCCCCCAGACCCAGCUUUACUUAGCAGUUCCUGCGGUUCUGGCUGAGGGAAUACUCUAGUGUGAAGCCAGGGUUUGGGAACCUGCUAGCAAAUCUAGGUGCUCCUUCUUCCAUCCUCUUGUAAAAGUCCCUAUCAAUCCUGUUGAAAUACCGCAGUUAAUAAUAACAGGAAAGGCUUAAAUUCUGAAUGCAAGGACAUAAAUACAGCUAACGAGAACUGUGUACCUUUGUGUCCAUUUCAGCCUCAGGGACUCAGCCAGCCUGCAAAGAUGCUCAUAUAUUUAGAAAUUUUGAGCUGCAAAUGCUCUUGCCACAAAAUAUAGCAAUAAUGCUAAGUAAAGGUUUAUCCUGUUGACUGUCCUGUGCUACUUGUGCAGUCACAGGCUCAUGCAUCAUGUUGUCUGGUGAAAGGUCUCAAAACUGCACAAUGCAGCUGAAAUGAGCCUCAAAACAUCCUGCUGACAUAAGUAACGUUAUGGUCCGGAGAUCAGCAAAGUGCAACGCUGGGGUAGAUUUUAGGAGCCCGAUUCUCAGGGGAAAUAGGUGUUUGAAGGUCUCUUACUCCCAGCUGGUGGUCUGGUGGUCUGUCUUCUGAUGACUUUCCUAUAUGAGUCAUAUUCUCAGGAUCAGCCUUUCCCAAGCAAACGGCAGCUCUAUAGGUUGGUUUAGGUUGGUGCUUGUUGACGUGGUUGUUUCACAUGCCCAGCUGCCGGGGCCCAAAUCAGCGCUGCCGCUUAAGUCACAGUUUAACUCCCAGCAAACCUG
rnacentral:lncRNA from 1 species